GGACCUCCAAUCAGUCAAGAUUA
rnacentral:rRNA from 1 species